GCCAUAUUGUCAGCAGGCUCACCUCUAGAUUGCAGCAGGCAGCCUGGGAUGCCCACGCCUGCCAAGGAUCCCUCAGCUGAACAAUUGAACAGAGAAGAGGUGGGGGCUUCCAGUGACCCAGGGACUGUUUGGACCAGGCCACAGAUCUAAGAGACCUUCUCACACUGCAAACCUCUUUUCCUGUGUGCCACCGGGGAUGUGUACCUGGGGCUUGAGCCCCUGCCUGAGCUCUGGAUCAGAGAGAGCCUGCUCCUGCACCUUGUCUGAAAUGGAACAGGGGUGACAGAUGAGCAGAGGAUCAAUAGCCAUCUGUCCAGGCUCCACUGACAAGCUAAUCUUUUCAGUAAACAUUUCAUUAGCUCCUGCCAGUCUGCUGCACCUGCUGACAGGAGAGGCCAAACGGAGUAGGGGGAGGGGAACCUCCGCUUUAUGGUAGGGCUCCAAUGGCAGCAGGGGUCUCCUGGCCCCUGAGAGCUAGUUAAGCUCAGCUGGAAUACCCCUGCCACGCACUGGAGGAAUCCGGAUCAUCCCCAAGAUUUUUGUAUUUGAAGGGACUUUUAAAAUCAUUUAACCCAAG
rnacentral:lncRNA from 1 species